CUGUAUCCCAGUUUCUACUGGCUGGGUUCCUUACUGUGAAGUCUCAGUCCCCUGGUUAUGGGCCCCUUAUACUUUAUGGGAGACUCCCAUAAUAUCCAAUACCCAGUGCCUGUUGGAAUGGACUUUUUCUUUCUCUCCCUCCCUCCCUUCCUUCCUUUUUUUUCUUUUCUCUCCUCUUUUUUUGUUAUGAUUAUCUCAGUAUUUGGGUCACUUCCUAAACAAUUUAGAACUUGGCCUCAGGGCUAUAUUCCAC
rnacentral:lncRNA from 1 species